GACGAACGCUGGCGGCGUGCUUAACACAUGCAAGUCGAACGAGUGGCGAACGGGUGAGUAACACGUGAUUAACCUGCCCCUUCUUCUGGAUAACUGCUUGAAAGGGUAGCUAAUACGGGAUAGUGGGGGAUGGGCUCGCGGCCUAUCAGCUUGUUGGUGGGGUGAUGGCCUACCAAGGCGGUGACGAGUAGCCGGCCUGAGCGGGUGGACGGCCACACGGGGACUGGGACACGGCCCAGAGUCCUACGGGAGGCAGAAGGGGGGAAUAUUGCACAAUAGGCGCAAGCCUGAUGAAGCGACGCCGCGUGAGGGAGGGAGGCCUUCGGGUUGUAAACCUCUUUCGCCAGUGAAGAGGUAGCUGGAUAAGAAGCGCCGGCUAACUACGUGCCAGCAGCCGCGGUAAUUC
rnacentral:rRNA from 1 species